rnacentral:tRNA from 1 species
CGGGGGGCCGGUGCGGUCGAGGGACAUCCGGCGGGCUACCGGCUCGCCGCGGCGGCCGAGGACGUCGACGCGCACCGGUUCGAGCGGCUGGCGCUCGCGG